UGAUUUGAGCAAAUUAUAGCAUCAAGGCAUGGUGGCAAUUAUGAGCUUCGCUGCUGUAUUUUAAGGAAAGGUAAAGACUGCAGUUCUCGUUAAGAUACAAUUGUGGACAUGAAGACAUCUAUUCCAGCAGUCUUUCUCAUAUCUGUUAUGCGAAUAUUCUUCCCAGGAGUGAUCAUUAAUUAUGUGGCCUAUAGAUGUAAUCUGUUUCCCUUGCUGAAAAAAAUAAAGGAUAUAUAACAUGAAAAUAACACCACCCCACAACAUUCUGCCCUUUGGUUUAAUAGAGAAGAUGGCACAUUCUUAAAAAUUAUUCAAGAAAUUAUUUAAGAAGCAAACCUAAAAGAAAAUGUUUCUUAGAGAGCAGCAAACAUUGAAGGAGAUACCAAGUAAAUGUAGGUGGCAGGAAGGUAAAAAGAAAGAAAAUUAUUCAAAGCUCUGCAUUUGUUAAGAAACUCUGAGAUUUCACAAUUGGGUUUUUUCCAGCUGUAUAAGCAUAAAUCAAACUUGACUCAAACCUUCAACCUUACUCAGCCUAAGUUCUAUCUCUGGGCUAAUUCAAAAAGUCAGUACUGAUAUUGCUUCAUCAGGUAUAAUCGAAUACGAAGAGUGUCGGGUUUGAGUACAAGACAUGGAUUUGUGUUCUUGUCCCUGCACAUUGCUCCCUGGCUAUGCCAUUUUAGAAUCUAAAGUAUAGACACCUCAUUAAUGUGUUUUUUGGUUUAUUAUAUAAAAUGGAAAAAAUAAUAACUGUUUUUUUUAAAAAAAAUCGGGAGUUUUUUUUAAGUAACUAGGAAGAAAAACGUACUCAAAUGAGCUCAGCCAAGAGAAGGUGAUUGUUAGAAACAGGAAGGAUUAUUUCAGGAAUUCAAGUGGAAAAUGCAUCCAGAGAUCUUGGCACCCUGGAAGCAGAGACCUGAAAAAGACCAGGAAUGAAACUAGCAACUCCAUCCCUCCUGCUUCAUUUAGGUCCCCGUGGUCUGUGCCUUCACUUCUGCACCUGCUUCACUUUUCUCUCAUUGUCCUGUUCACACAUGGCUGGUUGUAGUUUCCCCAACAUUCCUCUCCAUUCCCAAAUCUAUGUCACAUAACCAAUAAACCAGACAGACUCUAACAGCGUCACUUUAGAUCAGGUGUUUUCUCUAAGUAUCUGUGGGUAGUGGAGGGGAAAGAGGACCAUGGGGUAGAAUGGCCGUCCUUCUGGCAGCGGAAAAAGGAUGAUUUCUACAAAAGGCAUUUGAAGUAAAAGGUCGAAAGUUUGGCAGAAGAAUUGACUGGCAUCUCUAAUUUGCCAUUCUUUCUAACAAGGUUGUUAUGAAGAUUGAGAGUUUAGCUAUGAAAGCAUUUUAUAAUUUGUAACAUGCUAUAUAAAUUUAAGGUAGUGAUCACUCGAGCCCAGGUCCCAGCCACUGCCACACGCAGCGCCGGGCAUUCAGGAAGAGGAGCAGCAGCGGAGGCUGCGGCCACAACGGCGGGCAGGCGCCAGAAAGGCCCAGAUUGAAAAGCUUGGGAGGGCAGCGAGCUACCCCCAGAAGAGGAGCCAGUCCGAACCCAAGGCGCCACCGCUGCAGAAGCAGUGCGGAGAAGCAGUCGCCUUCAUGGCCCACUCACCGGUGGCCGUCCAAGUGCCUGGGAUGCAGAAUAAUAUAGCUGAUCCAGAAGAACUGUUCACAAAAUUAGAGCGCAUUGGGAAAGGCUCAUUUGGAGAAGUUUUCAAAGGAAUUGAUAACCGUACUCAGCAAGUGGUUGCUACUAAAAUCAUAGACCUUGAGGAAGCCGAAGAUGAAAUAGAAGACAUUCAGCAAGAAAUAACUGCUUUGAGUCAGUGUGACAGCUCAUAUGUAACAAAAUACUAUGGGUCAUAUUUAAAGGGUUCUAAAGUAUGGAUAAUAAUGGAAUACCUGGGUGGUGGUUCAGCACUGGAUCUUCUUCGAGCUGGUCCAUUUGAUGAGUUCCAGAUCGCUACCAUGCUAAAGGAAAUUUUGAAAGGUCUGGACUAUCUGCAUUCAGAGAAGAAAAUUCACCGAGACAUAAAAGCUGCCAACGUCUUGCUCUCAGAACAAGGAGAUGUUAAACUUGCUGACUUUGGAGUUGCUGGCCAGCUGACAGAUACACAAAUUAAAAGAAAUGCCUUUGUGGGAACUCCAUUUUGGAUGGCUCCUGAAGUUAUUCAACAGUCAGCUUAGGACUCAAAAGCUGACAUUUGGUCAUUGGGAAUUACUGCUAUUGAACUAGCCAAGGGAGAACCACCUAACUCCGAUAUGCAUCCAAUGCGAGUUCUGUUUCUUAUUCCAAAAAACAAUCCUCCAACUCUUAUUGGAGACUUUACUAAGUCUUUUAAAGAGUUUAUUGAUGCUUGCCUGAACAAAGAUCCAUCAUUUCAUCCUACAGCUAAAGAACUUCUGAAACACAAAUUCAUUGUAAAAAAUUCAAAGACGACUUCUUAUCUGACCGAACUGAUAGAUCGAUUUAAGAGAUGGAAGGCAGAAGGGCACAGUGAUGAUGAAUCUGAUUCCGAGGGCUCUGAUUCGGAAUCCACCAGCAGGGAAAAUAAUACUCAUCCUGAAUGGAGCUUUACCACUGUGCGAAAGAAGCCUGAUCCAAAGAAACUACAGAAUGGCGCAGAGCAAGAUCUGGUGCAAACCCUGAGCUGUUUGUCAAUGAUAAUCACACCUGCAUUUGCUGAGCUUAAACAGCAGGAUGAGAAUAAUGCUAGAAGGAAUCAGGCAAUUGAAGAACUUGAGAAAAGUAUUGCUGUGGCUGAAGCUGCCUGUCCUGGCAUCACAGAUAAAAUGGUGAAGAAAUUAAUUGAAAAAUUUCAAAAGUGUUCAGCAGAUGAAUCUUCCUAAGAAACUUAUUAUUGGCUUCUGUUUCAUAUGAACCCAGAGAAACCCACCAAAGCUAUUUCAAGCUUAGCAAUGCUUAGCUCGUGAGCUCCAUGUGCCUUUUGGAUCUUUGCAACAUUGAAGAUUUAGAAGAAGCCAUUUGACUAUUUUGUGAUGGUGUUUGUCAUUUUAUAUUUUAAAGAGAUUAUUUUGUAAGGAGUAACUUUUAAUACUAUAGUUUCGCCUGUAUUCUAGUAAAUGUUGAGAUACAGUUUUGCUUUUAGGUAUCAUUAUUUCUUAAGUUACUAGGAUGAAUACCUUUCAUGUUUUGUUCUUUAGUUAACUGUACACUCAUGAAACAUACAGGUCUUUCAAAGUCAUCCUAAAUAUCCAACUUUGUAAAUUAUCAAGCUUCGAAAAGCUUUUUUAAAAACAUAAGCAUAUUCUAAAAAUGACUAUUGGUGGGGAAGUGAAAAUAAGUUGUAUCUUCUUAAAACUGAAGUUUUUAAUAAGCUCUUCAAAAUGAAAUCUAUAAAAGUAUUGACUCAUCUACCAAGUUGGUAUGAUAUUCCAGGCAGCUCAAUGAUAAUCACAUUUGAGAGCCCUGUGUUUGAAGCAUUUAUAGGCAACAUGUAGCAACAGAGGUACCUCUUGUUGUGCAGUAUUUACCUUAUCUUUUAAAUAGAAGAGGCAAUUAAUCCUUAUUUAACAUGGUUAGAAAUUUCAAGCAAGAUCAUUUAGCCAAAGAUAGAUUUUGUUGGUGAUACUGGAGGAAUUAGUCUGGCUUCGUGUUUUAAAUCUUCACCAUACUAUAUGCUUGGAUUUGGAGAGCUUUAAAAAAAAGCUGAUUGUCAUGUGAUUAAAUACCUGAUCAACAGGUAUAAAUAUAACUUACACCAGCAUAUUUUUUCAUGGUAGUGAAUUAUCCUAUAAACUAUUUAUGCAGUCUUAUUCUUCAUAAUUAUUAGUCCAUAAGCAUCAUUUGUUCAUUUUUCAAAGAGUAUUUAAAUGAGCAUUUUCUAGUUCAUAUGAAAAUAACCACAGUACAAGAUGAUUUCUGUCCAUUCGAACAUAAGUUAGAUUGUACAGUUAAUUUUCACUUAUAUUUAUGGUACUAUUAAGUGGGUAAUACCUUUUCCUUUUAAGCCCAAUAUAUAUAUUAUGCCUUCCUAAGUUCUGAACUGGGGCUAUAUUUCAGUAGUUGUAGAAUUAUUGAUAUUAGUUAGUUUUGAUAGUUAAUGUUUUAUUGUUUUGAUCUGCACAAUUUGGCUUUUGCACAAUUCAUUUUUUUAUCUGAAUAAUUGCCAAAUAUUAGAAGAAAGGUGUUCUUCAGGUAAAGAAUACAGAUUUUAGUCUAAGUGGCCAUCACAUCCUCUUUUUUUAAAAAAAAAAACAUAAUAUAGAUACUUGAGAAAGUUAUUGUGGUGUCAUAUGUUAAGAAAAUUGUUUUAAUUGGUGCCUAUGCUGUAAAAAUUACUUUUAAUGUAUUGUAUUUUGAAGUAAUGGUUCAGUUAAAUUUUUCACCUGCUAUGUAACUGCAACUCAAUUACAGUUUAUAAACUGUAGAGUUCUGGAAAUUAAUUUUGCAACGCAUAUCAUGGAUUUAAAUGAAUAUUUUUAUAAAAGUAAAAGCAACAAAUUUAUAAAUUGCUUAUUUGAAAUUUCACAACACAAUUGUAUCCCAAAUACAAAUUUUAUUGUUUAUUCAUUAUAGUUAUUAGUCCUGUAAACUGUUUCUAGGUGAAGCAUACGUAUUCCAGUGUUUUGGGGUUUUUAAAAAUAAGUAUUUAAAUUUCAUGGUCAAAAAAAAAAUUUAAGGUAGUGGAUACUUCAUACAAAACUCUCAAAGGUUUAAUAUCUGUGCUAACUUUGGAAAGAGUAAUACAGCAAAUUGCCACUGACUCAGAAUGACACAAUAUUGGAAAUCCUUUAAGGUGUUAGGAAUGUGGAAAUGAAACAGAAUACAGAUCACAGGAAUAAAACAUUGUUACAAAAUAACAACAACAAACUAAAAGUGGGCUCCAAAAGACAUGAUGUUAAUAGACUUACACGUGGAUAUUUCAUUUAAAUGUCACAUUUCUCACCAGGUUUGCCAUGUGCUGCUCCCUGACAUCAAGAUUGCAGCAGACAGAUUUGGUUUGCAGGGACCCAAAAACUAAACUCACUUUUAUAAAUGCCUGGCGGUCUAUCAUCUGAAUGUGUAUUUGCGUUUAUACCCUGCUUUUCUAUUUAUCUACUCUAUUUCCAAAAUGAAUUUGAGGAAUAUCAUUUCAGUAAAUAAUAAAACUUGAACCCAGUGGUUAUCGACAUAAUGCCCAACUGAAUGUUUCUUUCUGCAUUUGCAUAAAUAUUACAGAACGUUGCUUUCUUAUAUUUUCUGUAUUAGUAUAUGAUCUUCUCACUUUCAGAUGCUUAUGUAAUACAUGUAUCAAAUGACUCAUGCAACUUGUGAAUUAAGAAAAUGUAUCUCCAGGAUUCUUGGCUUCCCUUGUAUGCAUUCUUUUUUUACUGUUUGGAAUUUCUGGAAUUUUCAACGGCUUUUAUCUAUCAUUUAAACAUAUAAUAUCAUUCUAUACUAAAAAAAAAUUUAUUCUUUGUCAAUUCAGAUUAUUAGCCACUUAUAUCUUAGCAUAAAUUUCACACUUUGUGUCUCCUCUCCCAAAAGCAUUUGCCUAUGAACUUUCUAGUGGAAUAAAAUAAUGUUUUGUUUAUGAAAAUGACUAUGUGAUCUCUUUUUGAUUUUUCUUAGAGAUGAUAUAACCCUUUUCUCUGACGCUAGCUCCCUUGACUCACACUGAUGAGGUCAAAUAGAGUUAAGGCUAACCUUACAGGUGUGUCUUGUCUGCAAAGCCAGAAGAGCAUGAGGGUAGAAAUACCGUGUUGCCCCGAAAAUAAAACCUACCCAUGAAAUAAGCC